UACAGAGGGGGGCAAGCGUUUGUUCGGAAUUACUGGGCGUAAAGGGCGCGUAGGUGGCCUUCUAAGUUGAACGUGAAAUCCCUGGGCUCAACCCAGGAACUGCGUCCAAGACUGGGAGGCUUGAAUCCGGGAGAGGGAUGCAGAAUUCCAGGUGUAGCGGUGAAAUGCGUAGAUAUCUGGAGGAAUACCGGUGGCGAAGGCGGCAUCCUGGACCGGCAUUGACGCUGAGGAGCGAAAGCCAGGGGAGCAAAGCGGG
rnacentral:rRNA from 1 species